UCCCUUUUCCCCUAGGCUGCGCAGGGCCACCCUCUGCACACCCCCUGGGGUACCCUUGCCUGUGGGCCUCCAGGUGGGCUUGGCCAGUGCCGUGCCCGCGGGACAGUGGGAGCAGAUGGUGAGCGUCUCUUGCUGCCUCCCUGCUGGGCUCUGUCUUGGGGCUUCUGCUCCCCCAGCCCCGACGUGGCUGGCUGCCAAGCUGUGCGUCCCUGGGAGCUUGCCCUCCACGUGAGCCGUCUGGGUGAGUGGAGUUCCUGUAGGACUGGACAGGAAGCGCCCGGCCUGCCUGGGGUGGUAGCUGUGGUGGGUGGGCUGGGCCUGGGAGAAGGGGCGGUCCAGGGCGAGAUGACACUUCUGCUUUUAUACUCCUUAGUCAAAACUUGCCCAUUUGGGCGAGGCCUGGGGCGCCUGGUCUGCGCUGAGGACAGGCCUUAUGCGGCAGUCACAGCCCUGGGCGGGCUCUGUGCCUGGCUGCCGACUGGAUGCCGAGGAGGGGUCUCUGCGGAGCCUGCCCUGGGGCCAUGCCUCAGGGCUCCUGUGACGGCAGCGGGUAGGGUUCUGACCCCCACGCCCUGGCUCCUGCUGCCUGGCUGUGCUUCCCUUUGACUUAGAGAAGGAGCCCACAGCAGAGUGAGCGCCGUGCCCUGGGGGCCCCACAGGAAGGCUGCCUGAAGUUCCCCAGCGGACCGUGAUGAGGGCCUGACAAAGCAGAGGCUUCUAAGUCCCGUUGGCAGCCUGCUGGGUGACCCUGUGUCCGGUGGAUCCAGUGCCAGCAGGUGGUCUGCCGGGUGGCCCUGCUCUGGCCAGCGGUCUGCAGUAAGGUAGGACUUUCCUACGGUGCCAUGUUGAACAGCUUCUGGAUUCCUAGGCAUACAUCUCAGAGUAUUGAGGUCAGCAUCAUGGAUCCCACGCCCCAGCCCUGGAGGCUGCCACACGAUGCUGCAGAGACGGCUGCACAUACUUUGCACAGAAUCCGCUCGCCCUCCGCACAGGGCAGGUGCAGUGACCAGCCCACUUCACGGGAGAGGGAAGGAAAGCAGAGUGUGUGCAGGGACCCCAGCAGGUGCAGGCAGGGUGAGGAUUCUGCUCGGGGGGCGCUGGCCUUCAGCACUGCUAUCUGAGCAGACUCCAAUCCUGGCGGGGGGACGGCUGGGGCUAGUAUGUGGGUGUGCAUUUUGACCCUCCAGGAGUGUAAUGUGCGUGGUCUUCCCCAAAUCACUGGGUUCAGUCAACACUUCCCUGGAUGCCCAGCACAAUGACCUCUGGAUGGCUUUAGGACACGCCACCUGGACCUGCUGCAUGAAGUCUGGAAGUGUGGAGCCUGCAACACAGCCUGAGCGCCGAGCUCAGAACACACCAGGAGAGCCCUUCCACCUGCCAGCUGUGCAGCUGUGGACGCGUCACCUCCCCCAGAGCCCCAGUGCCUUCCCAAGGGCGCGACAGGCCACACAGCCCACGGCAGCCAGCAGGGUGGGGAAAGCUGGCCCGUGCGGGGCGCCUGAACCGGGGCACUGCCUUCCUUUCCUCUAACUGCUGUCCUCCCCGUUGGCUGCCUGCCGAUGAUGGCAGCUGCCCCUGCACCCAGGCAUCAGCCUGGACCAUCCCUGGCAAACAGAACACUUGAAACAGAAGAACACCUGGGGCGUGUUUGGUGCUCUCCCGUCAGCUGCUGGGCCCUGCCGUGCCCUCCACGUGUCCUCCACGUGUCCUCCACGUGCCCCGCUGCUCUGGAGGCUGGUGCCGACCGCUCGCUCGGGCGGCGGCUAGUCGUGGCUUUCUUACAUUGGAUGUGCCCCUGGAUGGGCUCGCAGGGCCCAGUCCUUACCUCCUGACCACCACGGCGAGCCUGCUGUCCUCCAGCGCCCUCUGCGCACUGAACGCUGGGUCUGUCUGUCUGUCAGGCUCUGGAUGGCUAGAGGUGGACGCUCUUUAUCCCUCUGCUUGUGUUCUCAGCUGAAGCUGCCAUUUUUCUCUCUGUGCCGUGGAGUGGCAUUUGAGGCAAGGAGCCCUCCAUCCUGCUUAGAGUCCAAGCCGAGAGGGGGUGUCCCACUCCUGUGAACAUGGCUCCGAUGGUCCCCUUGAUGAAAGUUGAGCUUGUAUGGGGGCUGGGAGCAGACAUGCAGGGUCCCCCCCGAGUCCCAGGAGGACUAUGGCUGGACUGUCUGCGGACGGCCACUGGAGGACCACUUAGGGUGAGCCCCUGUUCGUCUCACAGUACCCACUUCUUGUUCUCAUCCUUCUGAACGGACCUCCCAACCCAGAUUCCAGAAGGAACCAUUCUGACCGCUCUAGCAGGUGUCUACCUGGAGUGGUUAAAACCUCAAGGAAUUUAAGAUUGGGACACCUGCAACCUAGCUCCGCACUCUAACAAGAGCAAACUAGCUUCUUUUGGGUCACUUUGUCAGGUCAUUUCAAGUACGUAUCAAAAAACUAUAUCGAAAAAAAUUUGGAAAAAUUUCAAACUCUACCUUUUCCUGUAAUAGCAGUUGUCCUACUGGGUGAUGGGAGAGACCCAGGCCUGUACCUCUGCUCACCCCAGAGUGGUCAGCUUUGCCACAUGACAUCACCUUGAUGCGUGGGGAACAAUUGGAGGGAACCGUUCCUGGUGCCUCGCUGGCUGCAGCGGAGAAGGGGUUGUGGAGGGUCCUGGGAAGGAGGCAGGGGUGGUCGGGGGGGCCUGAUGUGUCUUGGGCUGAGAAACUCCACCUUUUCCUGUAAUAGCAGUUGCCCUACUGGGUGCUAAAAGUGCCAGGCUGUGUAGAGGUGCCUCUUGUAUAUGGAAAAAGCUUGAGUUGAAUUACUUUUUCAUAAAGUAUUUUAAGCAAUUAAAAACUGACUCAAAUGUAUGGUGUACCAUUUAUGGGCCUUUAUUCCCAAGCAAGAAGAGUUGACUGCAAAUUAACUCCAUGGCUGCUGGUUAAAAAAAACAAUAAAUCCCCUCUCAAACCAAGGACUGUGUGGUGCUUUGGUAACUCCGAUGGACAGAAGACACGUCUGUUAGGACACACUGAUUAUAUGAUUUUUAUCUGUUAUAAAGUUGGUGCUUUAGGAAAGGAAAGGAGACUCUAGGAAGGAAGAUGGGGAGCAGGAGCCUAGCCAUAGGGCCACUGCCGUGGUGAGGGGUGGUCAUGGCUCAUACGGGGCGGGGGUGACAUGAAGGUAUCAUGUGAGCAAAGUUUGGUUCAGAGCCCCUGGUCCUAGCCGAUGGCCUGGGUGUGGGAGGCUCGGGUGGAAAAGAGAGAAAACCAGGGUGACUUCUGGGAUUUUGGCUUGAGCAACUGGCUGGAUUCUGGCAGCAGCUGCUGAGGUGGAGUUUGGGACACAAGUUACGCUACUGAGUGCUGAUGAAGGAGGUGACUACGCAUACGUGCCAGGUGCACCGUCAGGGUGGUCCCAGAGGUGAUGGUGAGGACUGGUGGAGAUAGGAUGCACAAUAAGCCUGAUAAGGAAUUAGAGGAACAGACCGUAAGGGCAGGCUCCGUGCAACUGCUGCUACAAACUGAAAGACCCCUGACUGUUUACUGAGAGUGGAAUGAUGGGUAAUAACGUAGCUUUAAUUCCCUGUCAGUGGAGCUCAAAAUCCACUGCCGCUUUGCAGA